ensembl:lncRNA
GGAAACUCAACACAAAACAGAAUGUUGGCGUCUAGCUUUCUACCCAUUAAGGAAACACACGGUGGAAAAGACUGAGUUGACCCAAGGGCGCAGUGGCUGCCUCUCCCCUGGCAGUGUGGACCAUCUAGCCGUCUUGCUCCAGCAACUUACAGGUUCGAUGAAUGCUAAAGAGGCUUAUCAGCUGCUGAAUGUGGGCAUGCAUGAGGCUGCAGAGUUCCAGGCUAGUGCAAGAUUCCUAGUCAAAAUAACCUUGGAAAAAGUGCCCAACGAAUAGGAGCUCAGCGACUGGCUUGCUGCCACCAUGGAAUGAAAGUGUACUGGGGCAAAUGGAGAUCUGGUCAGGAGGACACGUUGGUUUCAGCUUCGGUGCUGCCUCCUUGAGGCUGAUGCAAUUGUGUGUUUAAGGGUUCAACGUUGCGUCCAGAUGCAGCAAGAAAGAGGGCCAUAACCCAUCACUGUUUUCUGAGAAGUUUUCCUAGAUGGCUCAGUGGUAGUCUCUGCCUACCAAUGCAGGAGGUGCAGGAUACUUCGGUUUGAUCUCUGGGUCAGGAAGAUCCCCUGGAGGUGGAAAUGGCAACCCACUACAGUAUUCUCACCAGGAUAAUCUCAUGGACUGUAGCCGAUGGGGUGGCAGAGUCAGACACGACUGAGCACUCAAACUAAGUUCUAGUUUCCUAGGGUGGAAGCUUGGAUGAUUGAUUUUAGGUCUUUCUUUAUUGUAAAAUACGCAUCCAACACUAUACAUAUUCUUUCAAGCACUGUUUUCAUAGCAUCUGCUAUCUGAUAAGUUGUAUUUUCAUUGAGUUCAAAACAUUUUUUUAAAUUCUCUUGAAACUUAUUGAGAUAUACUGUGUAAUCUCUAAUUGAGGAUUUUCUUGAUAUUUUUCUGCUAUUGAUUUCUUUCAUUGUGAUUAAUUUCAUUGUGAUCUGAAGGCAGCUUUGUAUGAUUUCUACGUUUUUAA